rnacentral:lncRNA from 1 species
GGGCCCGCGGGCCGGGCGGGCUCGGGGCGGCCGGGACGAGGAGGGGCGACGACGAGCUGCGAGCAAAGAUGUGCCCCGGGACCCCCGGCACCUUCCAGUGGAUUUCCUUGCGGAAAGGAUGUUGGCGGUCCCUGUGACCUGUGGAGACACGGCCAGAUCUGCCCUCCAGCCUGAUCUUUUGGCCAGAAGGAGAUUAAAAAGAUGCCCCUCAAGAUGGCUGUGCCUGUCAGCUGCAUGGAGCUUCGUUCAAGUAUUUUCUGAGCCUGAUGGAUUUACAGUGAUCUUCAGUGGUCUGGGGAAUAACGCUGGUGGAACCAUGCACUGGAAUGACACACGCCCGGCACAUUUCAGGAUACUAAAAGUGGUUUUAAGGGAGGCUGUGGCUGAAUGCCUCAUGGAUUCUUACAGCUUGGAUGUCCAUGGGGGACGAAGGACUGCAGCUGGCUGAGAGGGUUGAGAUCUCUGUUUACUUAGAUCUCUGCCAACUUCCUUUGGGUCUCCCUAUGGAAUGUAAGACCCCGACUCUUCCUGGUGAAGCAUCUGAUGCACGUUCCAUCCGGCGCUCAGCUGGGCUUGAGGUGAGGCUGUCCUGGCUGGUCACGGAGGGUUCACUGGGAUGUGGCUGGUGUUCUCAACGAGGUGGCAUUUAAUGAGCACCCUCUGUGUGGUUGGCGUGAUGCUGGGUGCCUGGGGGAGACAGAUGGAACUAAAGAGGUCCUUCCUGGAAGCCGUUACUGUUCCCUGCCCUGACGUGUGUUAUUGUACCUGUCACCAUUUUCUGAUGUUCCCAGUUUACGUAUCUGUCACCAUCUACCUCCCUAUAAAGUGCCUCUGCUG